GCCCUGGUAGUGAAACAGUUAAGUAUUCAGCUACUAACUGAAAGGUUGGUGGUUUGAACCCACCCAGUGGCU
rnacentral:tRNA from 1 species